rnacentral:rRNA from 1 species
UACAGAGGUCUCAAGCGUUGUUCGGAUUCAUUGGGCGUAAAGGGUGUGUAGGUGGCGCCGUAAGUCGGGGUGUGAAAUUUCGGAGCUUAACUCCGAAACUGCAUUCGAUACUGCGGUGCUUGAGGACUGGAGAGGAGACUGGAAUUUACGGUGUAGCGGUGAAAUGCGUAGAUAUCGUAAGGAAGACCAGUGGCGAAGGCGGGUCUCUGGACAGUUCCUGACGCUGAGGCACGAAGGUCAGGGGAGCAAACGGG